rnacentral:rRNA from 1 species
AGACUUCUGCAUCUUCAGGAUAUNCUAGUCCAACAUCGAGGUCACAACCCCCCCUUUCGAUUAGGUCUCUCAAGAGAGAUUAUNCUGUUAUCCCUGCGGUAACUAAUUCUUUUAAUCGGCUAAGCCGGAUCAAAACUUAUCGGUAUUUCUUAAUACAGGAAGCUUUUUUUGUUCCUUGGGUCGCCCCAACCAAAAAUACUAGCAGUUAUGAAUUUAAUUAAAAUAUAAGAUAGCUUCUCUUGUUUUUCAAGCUCGACAGGG